UACGAAGGGGGCUAGCGUUGCUCGGAAUGACUGGGCGUAAAGGGCGCGUAGGCGGAUUGAUCAGUCGGGCGUGAAAUUCCUGGGCUUAACCUGGGGGCUGCGUUCGAGACGGUUGGUCUAGAGUUUGGAAGAGGGUCGUGGAAUUCCCAGUGUAGAGGUGAAAUGCGUAGAUAUUGGGAAGAACACCGGUGGCGAAGGCGGCGACCUGGUCCUUGACUGACGCUGAGGCGCGAAAGCGUGGGGAGCAAACAGG
rnacentral:rRNA from 1 species